rnacentral:lncRNA from 1 species
GCUUUGCCUGCCAGGAAGCUGGCAACAGAAUUUAGAUUUAAAUCUAGGACGUACACUAAAAGGUCUAACCUUGUCUUUUAUGUUUAAAUUACUGCUUUGUCUUUUGCUCUUAUCUUGAAAAUUUUGCUGUAUUUGUAUCUGUCAUUAUAUGCCACCUCAUUCAUUCAUCUAGUUCAAAGAUAUUUACUGAGGACUUACUUUGUAUGAGACACAUCAAGUUCUUUUAGAAGACAGACAGAAUGUGGCUCUGGACUGGCAGGCAGGAGACCUGAGCUUUAAUAUCAACUCUGUUUCUGACUUGUGCUGUGUUUCGGUCUUAGGGCUUGAUGUUUAUA